GAUGAACGCUGGCGGCGUGCCUAAUACAUGCAAGUCGAGCGAACAGACGAGGAGCUUGCUCCUCUGACGUUAGCGGCGGACGGGUGAGUAACACGUGGAUAACCUACCUAUAAGACUGGGAUAACUUCGGGAAACCGGAGCUAAUACCGGAUAAUAUAUUGAACCGCAUGGUUCAAUAGUGAAAGACGGUUUUGCUGUCACUUAUAGAUGGAUCCGCGCCGCAUUAGCUAGUUGGUAAGGUAACGGCUUACCAAGGCAACGAUGCUUAGCCGACCUGAGAGGGUGAUCGGCCACGCUAGAGCUGGGACACGGUCCUAACUCCUACGGGAGGAAGCAGUAGGGAAUCUUCCGCAAGGAGCGAAAGACUGACGGAGCAACGCCGCGUGAGUGAUGAGGGUCUUCGGAUCGUGAAACUCUGUUAUUGGGGAAGAACAAAUGUGUAAGUAACUAUGCACGUCUUGACGGUACCUAAUCAGAAAGCCACGGCUAACUACGUG
rnacentral:rRNA from 1 species